UAGCGUUACUUCCCUUCUCUCCUCCACCCUGCCCUCUCCUCCUCAAAUGCGAGAGUGUGGGAGUGGGGGACACCUUAUCUCAGACAUGGAGAGCUCUGGUCUCCGAGAGUGCUGAGCCGCAGGGGGCGCGGGGGAACCCGGGGCGGGGGGGCCGCCGACAGCUCGGCAAAGUUGGGCGUGUGCUUGUGCGCGCCAGGCGUGAGCUAGCAGGCGGCCACGGUGGUUCCCCUCGCACACCCCCUCCAGAGAAUUCCCCGAGAAGGCGGGCGCCGGCUUCGGGCCCGGGAUAGACCUGCGGCGGCGGCGGGAACGGCCACGCACAGGGAAGCCUCAACUGCCAGAAAACUGGUCUCCUGGAUCCUAAAGGUGACCUUCUUCCACGUCUGCCAGACCUUUCCCAUUGAGGUCAGAGGGAAGAUAAGACAACUGUGGCCUGCUGGCCUUUCCUUCCCAUCAGUGAUGUGCUGGAACCCAGGAGUAACUGGCUUAAAUUUCAUUAGCCUGAAUGGAAGGAAGAUAAAGUGGCUGUUGAGUUAACAGAUGGACAAGUUGGAAAGAAAGGACGUAUUGCUGAUCUCAUCUUCUGCUCAGGUAUGUUGUUAAUUGCGGAGACAACCUGAUCUUUGUUGAGAACCAGGUCUUUCAACCUGGGUACAC
rnacentral:lncRNA from 1 species